CGAAUGUUAACAAAUUGCUCUGCAACUUUGAUAAGCCCUGAACUGAAAUGGUUAAAUAAACAACCCAGUAGAGAGCCUAAUGUUGUUGGAAGUAGGAAAACUUGUAUUUUUCAGCAGAAAUAAACCAAAACACCCAAGCAUUCGAGAGGCUUGGUAUCUCUCCCAAAAUGAGCAAGCUCACUACAAAAUAAUUCUCUGGAUCCCCUUCCCAAAAACCAGCUCCUCCCAUAUAACCUCCUCACUUCUACGCCAAAAUAGAAUAACAGAAAAACUCUAACAAAUUAUCAAAACCGAAAACCAUCAACUUAUUACUAACAGAAAUGCAUAACAAACUCCUCUCUCUAUACUACUUAAUGACACGUCAACCCUGAUUGGUAUUUCUAGAAUUACCCUUGCGCCUUGCAUGUGUGAAACGCACUUGUGGCCUAACAUUACCAUCCGCCCAAACUUUCACCUUGUCCUCAAGGUGGAAAUUGGGAAAUUGUUGUUGGAUCAGAUGAAAAUCCUCCCAAGUUGCCUCAAACUCAGGCAAGGAUUUCCAUUUAAGCAGCACCUCCACUUCCCCGGAUUGACCAUUAACCUUAGGACGAACUCCCAACAAUUUUUCAGGUUCCACCAUGAGUUCAAGCUCAGGAGUCAACUGUGGGGGGAUAGUGGGGGAAAAAGGAUGACACACCAAGUGCUGCCCUCAAUUGCGAAACAUGAAAGACAUGGUGGAGUUUUGCUGUUUGAGGCAGUUCUAGUUUGUAUGCCACCUUCCCGAUACGCUGAAGAACCUUAAAUGGACCGUAGUAACAUGCAGCUAAUUUCUCAAACUUACGUUGAGCGAGGGAGCGCUGCCGGUAAGGUCUUAGUUUCAAAAAUACCAAAUCACCUGCAUUGAACUCUACAUGAUGGCGCUUUUGAUCAGCUUGCAGCUUCAUCCGCUGCUGGGCACAAAGCAACUGCAUCCUCAGAUCGUCCAGUAUGGCAUCACGAUCCUCCAUUAACUGUUCCACCAAAGAUACCGAAGCAGCUCCUUGCUCAUACCGAAUAAGAGGGGGUGGAUCUCUUCCAUAGAGAGCACGAAAUGGAAUACAACGUGUAGAAGAGUGGAAGGAAGUAUUAUACCAAUACUCAGCCCAUGCCAACCAGCGAGCCCAACUUCAAGGUUUUCCAGAUGCAAAGCAGCGUAAAUACGUUUCCAGACAAUGAUUGACAACUUCUGUUUGUCCAUCAGAUUGUGGAUGAUAGGCGGUGCUUCUUUGGAGAGUAGUUCCCUGCAGCUUGAACAAUUCACUCCAAAACUGGCUCAAGAAUAUCCUAUCUCGGUCAGAGAUAAUUGACCGUGGUAUCCCAUGAAGCCUAACAAUUUCACGAACAAAGAUUCCAGAAACCGAAACAGCAGAAAAAAGAUGUUUCAAUCCUAUGAAGUGAGCAUACUUACUCAGCUUGUCCACCACUACUAAGAUGGCAUCCCACCCUUCAGAACGAGGCAGCCCCUCAAUAAAAUCAAGUGUGACUUCCUCCUAAACCUAGGCUGGUAGUGGAAUAGGUUGAAGUAACCCCGCGGGAGUAGUGGCCAAGUACUUAUUUUGCUGGCAGAUGGUGCAUUCCCAUACAAAUCUGGUGACAUCCUUGCGCAUACCUAUCCAAUACAAUUCUGCUGCUAAGCGUAGGUAAGUUUUUGUUUCUCCCGAAUGUCCCCCAAUCGGAGUGGUGUGAAACUCUCCUAUGAGAGCAGAAAGAAACUUAGAAGUCUGAGGAAUAACCAGCCAACUCUUGUAGAACAAUACUCCAUGCUCAACUGAGAACCCCACGUGAGAUUGUGUACCCGAAGUUAUGUCUUCCCUUAGUUUCUUCAGAAAGGUAUCCUCUGCCCUGCUGUACCGUACAUCCGCCUUGGCCGUACAGCAGAAAAUUUUAUUUUGCAUACCAAAGCUGAACACUCUGCUGGUUCUGUUAAGCGGGAGAGUGCAUCCGCUACUCGAUUACUUGCCCCACUACGAUAUUGAAUAUCAAAAUCAUAUCCCAUGAUUUUGGUGAUCCAUUUUUGAUAUUCAACUCCAACAAUCCUCUGCUCCAAAAGGAAUUUUAAGCUCUGUUGGUCUGUUCGCACAAUGAAUCGCCUUCUCAGUAAGUACGGCUGCCAUUUCAGGAUUGCAAACACUAUGGCCAUUAGUUCUUUCUCAUAUAUGGACUUAAGGCGAGCCCGGGGCCCCAAAACUUGGCUGUAGUAAGCUACUGGUUGUUGCCCCUGUAGUAGAACAGCCCUUAACCCAAAACCAGAUGCAUCAGUCUCAAUAAUAAAUGGCUUUGUGAAAUCAGGCAAGUACGGCCGCCAUUUCAGGAUUGCAAACACUAUGGCCAUUAGUUCUUUCUCAUAUAUGGACUUAAGGUUUCUUGAGCUGAUCAGUCAAAGGCGAUGCGAUUCUAGCAUACCCAGCCACAAACUUUCUAUAAUACCCCGUCAAUCCCAGAAAUCCCCUUAAUGCUUUCAGAUUAGUGGGCGUCGGCCACGAGUUCAUGGCCUGGAUCUUACUUGGAUCCGCUGCCACCCCUUGUCCAGAGAUGAUAUGGCCUAAGUAUGCCACUUGAGUCCUUCCAAACUCACUUUUUUUUUCGGUUGGCAUAAAGGCUAUUGGCCUGCAAUAUUCCCAAGACGAGAGCCAAGUGCUGCUGAUGGGAUUCCAUUGAAGGGCUAUAAAUUAGAAUGUCAUCGAAGAACACUAACACAAACUUCCGAAGAUAUGGCCGGAAGACAUCAUUCAUCAAGGAUUGGAAAGUCGCCGGGGCAUUCGUUAGUCCGAAAGGCAUGACGAGGAACUCGUAGUGGCCAUCAUGCGUUCGAAAAGCAGUCUUAUGAACAUCUUGACUACUGACUCUGAUUUGAUGGUAGCCCGACUUUAAAUCUAGCUUGGAAAAAAUUCUGGCACCAUGUAACUCAUCUAAGAGUUCGUCAAUGAUAGGGAUGGGAUACUUAUCUGGUACCGUCGCUUUGUUGAGAGCCCUGUAAUCCACACAAAAACGCCACGAUCCGUCUUUCUUCUUAACCAACAAAACUGGGCUCGAGAAUGGACUAUUGCUGACUUGGAUUAUUCCCGCAUCUAACAUCUCCUGAAUCAGUCUUUCAAUCUCAUCCUUCUGGGCAUGAGGAUAGCGGUAUGGUCGGACACUAACAGGUUGACUGCCGUCUUUGAGCAAAAUGGAAUGCUCAUGUCCCCUGGUAGGUGGUAAGCCCAUGGGCAUGUUAAAAACCAAUUCGUAUUCUGCUAGGACUUGGUUUAGAUCCGUUGGCACCUCAGGGCUCACUUCGCACAGACCUUCAAAUUGAUUACAUUCCACCAGAAUUCCAGCUCCCUCGUGUUUAAUGGUGCGCAUCAUUGCCUUCAAUGAAACCAAAGUCUUGCCAAGGGAAAGAUCCCCUCGUAGAGUAACAGAUUCAUUUCCGACCAUGAACUUCAUCACCUGUGUCUUCCAAUUUGUGUGUGUCAUCCCCAAAGUUUCAAGCCACUGAACUCCUAAUAUAACAUCCAAGCUCCCCAACCCAAGCGGCAAGAAUUCCUCUACAAUAUCUAUUCCCUGUAGAUGAAUAGUCACUCCCCGACAUAAACCUUCUCCCUUUACAGCCGCUCCAGUACCCAUAGUCACCCCAUAAGCCCCAGUUUUAACAAUGGGUAUCUGCAUCUUACUAACCAAAUCUAGAGAAAUAAAAUUGUGGGUUGUGCCUGAAUCAAUCAGUACCACCACCUCUUGCUCCCCGAUAGUCCCUUUAAGCUUCAUCGUCUUCGGUGUAGUCAGACCAACCACCGAGUUAAGAGAGACCUCUACCACUUGAUUAAUUUCGGUCGUUUCCAGUUCGGGAUCGCCUUCACCCGAACCUUCUUCCUCUUCCUGCUCUGCUUCGUCCAUGUCGUAGGUGAGGACAAUAAAUUCUUCUUCUUGCAGCGAUGCCCAGGUGCCCACUUUUCAUCACAUCGAUAACAUAGUCCCUUCUCUCUUUUCUUCUGUAAUUCCGAAUCGGACAACCUCCUAACCUCUCCCGAAAAUCGAGCCGUGUUAUGAUUUACCCCAAUCGAAGAUCGCGAAGCUUCAGAAUGGAAGUUCACACCUCGUGUUGACCCUCCUGCUCGAUGAAACCCACCGUCUACUUUGUGGGUCUUGGUCACCCAUAGUUUCUCCUCAAUCUUUUGGGCUAAGUCCAUGGCCCGACCCAAAUUACUGGGUUCCAUGAUCCGAACCUCGACCCGAAUUUCAGGCUUCAAUCCGUUGAUAAAAUUUCCCCGAGCUAGUUCGUCUGUAAUGUUCUCCAACGGCGCCGAAAGUUCGAUGAAUUUCCGGCGGUAUUCUCGCACACUGCUACCUUUUGUAAGGGCUAGCCAUUGUUUAUAGAGAGAACUGGCUUGGAUUACUCGGAAUUGUUUCAAGAUUAGGACCCUCAUCUCUUCCCAAACCACUAUGGAUCUCUUCCUAUUCUCCCAUUGAUACCACAACAAGGCAUCUCCCUCGAAAGCUAUUAUUGCCGCCUCAAGUUUUUCUUCAUUGGAUAACCGAUUUACGGAAAAAUAUCGUUCAGCCUUCAGAAUCCAGCCAUCCAGAUUUGAGCCAUCGAACAGUGGCAUCUCAAGUUUCCAGAAUCGGAAAUCAUGGCGAGUUCCGCCUGAGCUCGACCCACCGCCGAAGUUGGGACUGAGCAUCUUUUCCCCUUUAUACGAGUUCGAACCUCCCAUAUCCUCCUGAAGUUUGAUGAACUGUUCGAAUCGUUUGUUCAUCGUCUGUAUUUCAUCCUUCAACGAUCCCAUUUCCCGUUGAAACUCCUCCUGCGCAGCAACCAUCGCCUCCUCCAUGGAAUCCAUUCGUUGAGCAACAUUUUUGCCAAUCAUUUUCAAGGUACGUGACUGCUCUGAUACCAAUUUGAUAAGCCCUGAACUGAAAUGGUUAAAUAAACAACCCAGUAGAGAGCAGAAUGUUGUUGGAAGUAGGAAAACUUGUAUUUAUCAGCAGAAAUAAACCAAAACACCCAAGCAUUCGAGAGGCUUGGUAUCUCUCCCAAAAUGAGCAAGCUCACUACAAAAUAAUUCUCUAGAUCCCCUUCCCAAAAACCAGCUCCUCCUAUAUAACCUCCUCACUUCUACGCCAAAAUAGAAUAACAGAAAAACUCUAACAAAUUAUCAAAACCGAAAACCAUCAACUUAUUACUAACAGAAAUGCAUAACAAACUCCUCUCUCUAUACUACUUAAUGACACGUCAGCCCCGAUUAGUAUUUCCAGAAUUACCCUUGCGCCUUGCAUAUGUGAAACGCACUUGUGGCCUAACAAACUUAACCAUUAGAUUAUUCAAUGCAUAGCUAAGAGAAAAAUGUAGUAAAACAAAUUAUGCUUGUUUAUUUGAUUUUUCAAAAUAGGAAGUAAUAGCAAAAGGCAAGCUGAGGGGAG
rnacentral:lncRNA from 1 species